rfam:Nadsonia fulvescens var. elongata DSM 6958 unplaced genomic scaffold NADFTscaffold_5, whole genome shotgun sequence.
GCCUAGCUAGCUCAAUCGGUAGAGCGUGUGACUCUUAACAUCCCAAUUAUAGGGAAUUACAGUCAUCACAAGGUUGGGGGUUCGACCCCCCCGUUGGGCU